rnacentral:lncRNA from 1 species
CACCCUUAGGUACACCCCAUUAUGUACCACUAGAUUAAUUCUAAAAAAAAAAACUUAAAUUUCAUAACAAAACUUCACGAGCUCCCGAACCCGAACCCAAAACCAAACCCUAUCUUCCAUUUCUCUCUCACGCCUACAAUACUCUAUGCACUCGAGCUACAUCGUUUCUUAUUUUCUCCUCAAAUCGUCGACAUCGACCGAGUUGAUCGUCGGUUGUUCGUGAGGAAACAUUUUUCGGUGGUGGUCUGUUUUUUGAAUCUCUUGUUUUCAAUAACCAUUAAUUUAUUUUAUUCUAUUUGUAUUUGUUUCUUUUGAUUGAUUAAUCAAUUUCAUGUUGAAGAAAAAGACGGAAAGAGGAAGAAAGGCGACAAGGAUCAAAACCUAAUGGGAGGCACGUGUUUUCUGGGCGACAAUUGAUUAAUCGAUUUCUUUUGAUUACUCUCAGAUUCGUUUGUAUAAUGUUUGCUGUAUUUAUGACCGGUUAUCUAAUUAGGUUAAUUUUUAUUCAGUCAUUUCUCUACGUCUUAAGAGUUGAGUUUGUAUUCCCCCAUUUUUUUUUUUUUUUUUGCAUCUUGUUCUGGGAUUCUUAGAUCAAUAUUAAUACAUUUUGUUGCAUAUCCUUUUCGAUUUUCUAAAAAAGUUGAAAAAAUGAAAUAGCAAAUUAAGCAUUGAUUUGGAACUAAGGCAAUAGAAAAGUGGAAAUUUGGGAUUUUCUUUGUUUGAGUAUAGCACGUGAUUAGUUUGUUUUAUAAGUUUUCAGGUAUUCUUUUAUCAGUUUCCAAUUCUUUGAUGCUUCAAUUUUGCAAUAAUUCAACUGGUUUUAAGUACUGCUAUGCAUUUCUAAUAAUUUAUACCAUGCAUCUGUUGAGUGUUGACAAUGUUAAGAACAAUAUUGUAUACUUGUAGCCUAAUAAUUGUCCGAAUAAAAUGCUGGCAAGUUGCUCUAAAAUAUGAUGAUUAAUUUAGAAAAAUCAUGUGAAGAUGUGAAAACUACAUAAAUUUAAUCAACUGGAGUUGUGGACAAAAUACUGCUUCAUUUUCCUUGAUAAUCUAUACAUAUAGAUAUAAGACCAAUUCCCAAUCAACUUUCUGAUAGAAACCUGCACUUGUGAGUGAUUCCUUGAUAAUCUUGUUUUCCUUUUAUGACCUUACCAUUUUCUUGCUUCUAGUAUAUUCCACUGGAUGCAUGGCCUUUCCGUUUCCCGCAGAUUAACUUUUUGUCUUCAUCGUGGAUGGUAAACAAAAGGCGAACUCCAUUUUAGCACAUUUCACUCACUUAGGACCGUUUUGUAUGUUUUAAUGCAUUUUACUCAUUUUGAUUCAUUUUCUUUUAGUUUUGUACAUUUCAUUUAUAUAAUCUUUUUCAUCUCUAUGUUUAGUGCAUUUCAUGCAUUUAGGAGAGUUUGGUGAGUUUAUUGCAUUUUGUAUAAUGUCAUAUUAAUCAUCAUACUAGUGCAUUUUGGUACAUUCUCGUAUUUUGGUUCAUUUUCUUGUAUUUUUGAACACGAAAUAUGUGUGAUCUAUUUCAUGUGUUUUGUUAUAUUUUGAGCAAUUACGGUCAUUUCGUGCAUUUCAAAAUAAUUCCUACGUUUUUCAAUUAUUUCGUUUGUUUGUUAUAUUUUUUGGAAUUUGGAUUGUUUAUGUGCAUUUUGUUACAUGCUUUCUGUUUAUUUUUUAUUUUCAGAUGUCCUCGUCAAUUUUGUUGCAUUUUAUCAAAUUCUGCACAAUUUAAAUUAUUUUCAUCAGUAUAUUCUUGCAUUUUGGACUAUUAAGUGCAUUUGGCACAUUUCACGCAUUUUUAUCCUUUCGUGUUUGUAUGCAUUUGACACAUUUCAAUAUAGUCAUGCAUUUAGCACAUUUCACGCACUAAAUUUGUUGAAAGUGUUGUUUUUAUUUGUUUUGAUUUAUAGAUGAGUAUGUCACACCGAUAUAACAUUUCGAAGGAAGAACGUGUUCCGACCCAUGCCUCACAGGUUAGCAACACAAAAUACAUAACAGUUGUCUUCAACAAAUUGAAUCUAUAACAAAAGCUUAUGUUGGAGGACAGUUGUAUAAGACAUGUUGCAAUGUUACCGGAUCUAAAACUAUCUGCUUAAUUAAUUCAUGAAAUGGUAAACAAAUCGGUGGUCUGCCAAAAGCGAUUUGAGGCUUGGUUCAAGGUGAACCAAAGGUUCGCACGAUUUGAACUGUUGGAGUUCGCAUUAAUCAUCGGUUUGAAGUGCUAUUGAGUGCCUAAAGAUACCAAAGUUGAAAAAAUCCUAGAGAAAACCUGUUUACAGGAUAGAAUGUUUGCUAAUAUGGACUGGGUAACUUGUAGCGACCUGGAGAAAGUUUUCUUGAAAUGACCCAACCAUAAUGAUCGUUACAAGCUUGGGUUGGCACUAAUUAUUGAAAAGGGUAUUUAAUUCAAGAGACGGAAAUAUAGGAAUACAUCCGACAACUCUCUCCAUCGUUGAUGACUUGGAUUUCUUCAAUGUCUACCCAUGACAGACAGUAUGUUUUCAACUUCUUAUCAAAUCACUGCUAUGGAGAUGGGAAAGAAAGGCGGACAUGACAAAAGUGAACGAUUGUGAUAGGAUGACUUACAUGUUGUACGAAUUUCCUCUCGUUGUCUAGGUAUACAAGUAUUUUGGUUCAUUCAGUUCUUUUCAUCGCAUAUUGUUAUGUACCUCCGAAUAUGGUUAUUACUGUUAUAAAUGUCAUGUAGAUUUGGGCGUACGAGUAAGACUUGUGACGAUGUUUCGAGGAUGUUGCGAUGGUCUAGAACAAAACAACCUCAUUCUUGAACAUAUUGAUAUGAUCCAAGAGUCGAGCCCGACGAAGGCGAGUGCGAGACGAGACCCGUUGAUAGUCGAUGGUGGACCAAUGACGCGAUCAAGGGCAAAGCAAGUGAAACAAGCAAUGGGAUUGCUCGUUCAAGAAACCAUUGAUGGAACCAUGUUCGGGACUUAAAAUGGAGUAACUUUCAUGUUCGGGUCAAGGGCCGAAUCAACUUGGAUCAAUUUGUUAUCAAGCGACGAAAUCGGAGGCUGAAAACAAGCCUGUGCGACCGCACAGCUAAAACACCAUGCGACCGCAUGGAGGCAUACCGAAACUUAAGAUGGGUUUUUGGUUGAACCAUGUGGUCGCACAGACCAAAAAUUUGGUGAAUUUUAUAAUUUUGGUAAUUUUUCAUAUUUUGUUAGUUUUUUAUUUUUUUUUUCCAUAUUUUGGGGAUUAUGAUCGACUUUUGCACGAUUUUUACCUAGUUUUUAGGUUUAGUAUAAAUAGGAGUUUCCAUUCAAAUGUUAAAAUUUUUUGACAUUAUUGAUAUUGAAUUAAAGUGAGGCGUAUUGUCUUCUUUUCAUUGUUCUUCAUUGAACAAUUUCGAACUUAUCAAGUGUUAACUUGUGGCGUUCAAAUAACCGGAUUUAAUUCUUGAAUUGCGUGAUCAAGGGGUCUUUCAAGCGUCGUUCUUGUUGGGUUUUUUGGUUCGACUUUCUUUUGGGGUUAAUCCUAAACUCUUGGAUUAAUUUGGCUUUCUUGGGUUCGUCAAUCUCGUUGUGGGUUUCGUAGUCAACGUUGCUACGGGGUUCGCAUCACAUAUUCAGAUUGUUUUGAGAAGACACAUGUGAGAGAUUUACAUACAUAAUUGCGUUACACUAUCGCAAUAUAUAAUAUUUCAUUUCGCCUAUUUUUCUUUCCCCUGUAGGUACACUUGUGGGUGAUGCUACGCCCAAUUGCUGCAGAAGAAUUGCAGCCGUACUUCGUCGACUAGUUCCAUUGGAAGACAUAGCUGACCCCCUUCUAGACAGUCUCGUUGCUUAAUCAAUAGAAAUACAAGCUUGUCCAGUUAAAAAUGAUGGUCAUACGGAACGAUGACAACAACUAUCGAUCAAAUAAAUCUCGGAGAGGCAACACAUGUAGAUUUCGUCAUCGAAAUUUGCAUCACGUUGAAGGUGGAGAAAAAGAGCAUGAGGAUCUGGUCAUCAAAAAGCCUGUGUCUUUAGAUGAGAUAAGGCUCUCUUGAACGAACAACGGGAGGCAUUUGAGAGCAGGAUGGGCGAUUUUAGGGAGGAGAUGAACAUAAGAUUUGCUAGUCUCCAAAAUGAUCUGGGAGGUCAUGUGUGCGAUUUGAGAAAUCAUGUCACUGAUGAGAUAAAUGUGCUCCGACGUAGGUUUGAUGAAGUUGUUACAGAAAUUGGGCAACAUAAUGUUGCUGACGAGUAUGGUGGAUUUGGUCAUGAUGAUUACGGUGGAGAUGUGCCCCGACGUGAUGUUUUAACUCCCAGUAUUUCUGCGGACAAACAGAAUGUCGGAGAGGCAACCGAAGAGGUUGUUUGCAAUAUCCCUGAUGUGUCCAUAACGUCGAGAGGUGGGGUUGGAGUUAUUGGGUCAGUUUACGUCGCUUGUUAUAUUGUGGAAGAGGCGCCAACCAUUGUACCUACAGUUGAUGCGUCUACUGCUGAUCCACCUACAUGCAGACCUCAAUCGUCGAAGUUGAAGAAGGCUAGUGCGAACACAAAGAAGCUGUUCACCUGAUUCGGUAGGAAGAGGGGUAAGAGGGAUGCGUAGUCUGUGUAUUUUAGUUUACGGUACAUAAUGGUGAUUGGAUAUGAACUUUAUGUUGAUUCGAAUUUAGUGGUUUGCAUAUUUUGAUUUAUAUGGUGGUAGGCAAUAUGUAUUGUGGUUUAUAUAGUGGUAUUUGGUCAUGUAUUUUGGUACGCAAUAUGAAAUAUCAAGCUUUAUGUUGAUUUGAAUUUAGUUGUUUACAUAUUUUGAUUUAUAUGAUGGUACGUAAUAUGAACUUGGGUUGAUUCAAAUUUAG